rnacentral:rRNA from 1 species
GCUGAAGUGACAAAUGCCCUGCUUCCAGGAAAAGCCUCUAAGCAUCAGGUAACAUCAAAUCGUACCCCAAACCGACACAGGUGGUCAGGUAGAGAAUACCAAGGCGCUUGAGAGAACUCGGGUGAAGGAACUAGGCAAAAUGGUGCCGUAACUUCGGGAGAAGGCACGCUGAUAUGUAGGUGAAGCGACUUGCUCGUGGAGCUGAAAUCAGUCGAAGAUACCAGCUGGCUGCAACUGUUUAUUAAAAACACAGCACUGUGCAAACACGAAAGUGGACGUAUACGGUGUGACGCCUGCCCGGUGCCGGAAGGUUAAUUGAUGGGGUUAGCGGUAACGCGAAGCUCUUGAUCGAAGCCCCGGUAAACGGCGGCCGUAACUAUAACGGUCCUAAGGUAGCGAAAUUCCUUGUCGGGUAAGUUCCGACCUGCACGAAUGGCGUAAUGAUGGCCAGGCUGUCUCCACCCGAGACUCAGUGAAAUUGAACUCGCUGUGAAGAUGCAGUGUACCCGCGGCAAGACGGAAAGACCCCGUGAACCUUUACUAUAGCUUGACACUGAACAUUGAGCCUUGAUGUGUAGGAUAGGUGGGAGGCUUUGAAGUGUGGACGCCAGUCUGCAUGGAGCCGACCUUGAAAUACCACCCUUUAAUGUUUGAUGUUCUAACGUUGGCCCGUAAUCCGGGUUGCGGACAGUGUCUGGUGGGUAGUUUGACUGGGGCGGUCUCCUCCUAAAGAGUAACGGAGGAGCACGAAGGUUGGCUAAUCCUGGUCGGACAUCAGGAGGUUAGUGCAAUGGCAUAAGCCAGCUUGACUGCGAGCGUGACGGCGCGAGCAGGUGCGAAAGCAGGUCAUAGUGAUCCGGUGGUUCUGAAUGGAAGGGCCAUCGCUCAACGGAUAAAAGGUACUCCGGGGAUAACAGGCUGAUACCGCCCAAGAGUUCAUAUCGACGGCGGUGUUUGGCACCUCGAUGUCGGCUCAUCACAUCCUGGGGCUGAAGUAGGUCCCAAGGGUAUGGCUGUUCGCCAUUUAAAGUGGUACGCGAGCUGGGUUUAGAACGUCGUGAGACAGUUCGGUCCCUAUCUGCCGUGGGCGCUGGAGAACUGAGGGGGGCUGCUCCUAGUACGAGAGGACCGGAGUGGACGCAUCACUGGUGUUCGGGUUGUCAUGCCAAUGGCACUGCCCGGUAGCUAAAUGCGGAAGAGAUAAGUGCUGAAAGCAUCUAAGCACGAAACUUGCCCCGAGAUGAGUUCUCCCUGACUCCUUGAGAGUCCUGAAGGAACGUUGAAGACGACGACGUUGAUAGGCCGGGUGUGUAAGCGCAGCGAUGCGUUGAGCUAACCGGUACUAAUGAACCGUGAGGCUUAACCUUACAACGCCGAAG